UACGUAGGGUGCAAGCGUUAAUCGGAAUUACUGGGCGUAAAGCGUGCGCAGGCGGCUUUGCAAGACAGAGGUGAAAUCCCCGGGCUCAACCUGGGAACUGCCUUUGUGACUGCAAGGCUUGAGUGCGGCAGAGGGGGAUGGAAUUCCGCGUGUAGCAGUGAAAUGCGUAGAUAUGCGGAGGAACACCGAUGGCGAAGGCAAUCCCCUGGGCCUGCACUGACGCUCAUGCACGAAAGCGUGGGGAGCAAACAGG
rnacentral:rRNA from 1 species